AAUCCUUGAGAUGACACAAAACCUAGAGAGAAAUCAGAAGGGAACCAAUUCAGUACAACAAUUACUGCGCUGAGAUCUACUGUUUACUGAUGAAGGACUUGGUUAUGAGAAGCAGCAAGAAGCAGAGGAUGGAUCAGAUUCUGUUACUUCAUGUGUCCCUGAACUCAAACUUAAGAAGAACACCUUUUACACAGCCUCCAUCGAACACCAGUUAAACAUCUCUUGCCCUGUGACAUACUGUAAUGAGACUCCUGUUGUCGAAUGGAUAAAAAUUGGUGACAUUGGUAACAUGUUUGUACACAUCAAAGAAACAAAUCAAGUAACAAUUACAGAGGAACAAACAGGCUUGAAUGAGAUAAUCUCAUAUUUACACUUCAGGAACUUUGUACCAGAUGAUAGUGGCAUUUAUAGAUGUAAGGUUACUACAUCAGGCUUUUCAUUAGAAAGCCACAACAUUAACGUCAAUGUUUCAGAUUCUGUUACUUCAUGUGUCCCUGAAAUCAAACUUAAGAAGAACACCUUUUACACAGCCUCCAUCGAACACCAGUUAAACAUCUCUUGCCCUGUGACAUACUGUAAUGAGAUUCCUGUUGUUGAAUGGAUAAAAAUUUAUGACACAAACAAUUUUAUACACAUCAAUGUAACAAAUCAGGUAACAAUUACAGAGGAACAAACAGGCUUGAAGGAGAUAAUCUCAUAGUUGAGCUUCAGGAACUUUGUACCAGAUGAUAUUGGCAUUUAUCGAUGUAAGGUUACUACAUCAGGCUUUUCAGUAGAAAGCCACAACAUUGACGUCAAUGUUUCAGGUAAGGAAUGGAAUCAAAUCUCUUUUUAUUGGUGUUUAGGGUGAUCCUACUUAGAGCAACAAACAAUAAUGUAAAUUACAAUAAUGUAUGUUUUAAAUGUUGCUGAAACUAUUUUCCACAGGAAGCAUUCUGGCAACUUCUGUUGAAAGUGAGGGCCUACAUUUUUUUAACAUAUUUCUAUUUGUGUCUGUAUCUAUAUGUCUCAAAUCAGCUCAACUCAUGCUUUAUUGUCAUUUUUCCUAAUACACGGUAUAAAAAAGAAGGAGAUGUCAUUACUACAGGCCAAGGUGCAUAAGUAAUGCAUAAUUUGUAUUUGUGUCUAUAUCAGCAUUUGUGUCUGUAGCUAACGUACCCCAACCACAAGAAAGUAAAUCUCACUUGCUUGCACUUGCUUUUUUUUUAUAAUUUCCUGUGGAUUUACCAUGAACCAGGUUCCUAGUGAGAUCCCCCCCCAACACACACAUGGCAUGCAUCCUUUUAUAUAAAUUUAAAACACAUUAUCGGUUCUUCUUACAUGAAUAAUUAAGCUUUGCUAUUAAUCAUUUUAUAAGAAAAUUAACUGAAUUAAUCUAACCUGUUAAUAAGCAUAACUUUUUACAUCUUAAACCUAUACAGACACCGACACAAUCGUAACCACAUUAGUCCUCGUUCUCACGAUAGUGAUGCUGAUCUGCUAUCUGACCAAAUGCCGACGUGGGUGUCCAACCAAAAGAACCAAUUGUGAAACUGAAUACACCACUGUGGUAUACACUGUGAUUCCAUUCAGCCCUGAUAUUUCAACAUGUGAAAGUCUUGAGAAACAAAGAAAAUGACACAAGAUCAUUUAAAAUUAGCCACUUUUAUCCUUUCUGUUUUAUCUCAUUGUCUAUAGUUAAAGAAACAAUCCAGACACAAGUUUGUAUACUGCAUUGCAUUUUGGCUGAAAUUACAUACUUGUGUUUUUUCUGAAAACAACAAGCUAACACCUUUCUUGUAAAUUUGUAAAAAGUCUUUCAGGCCAUAUAUGAUGUCAAAGGAUGUGGUCUACUGUUGAACUCUUGCAUGAAUUAAAAUAAGGGGCAUGCCAUGCCUUUGUACAAAGUAUAAAGUCUAUAGGAAGCCAACAACUUAAGACAUAGACUGUAAUGAUAGAAUUUAUAAUAUAGAACAUUGAAUUUCACUGUGCUGUAAUGUAUAUCUGACAAUAAUAAAGGUUUCUUCUUAUU